rnacentral:lncRNA from 1 species
CCACUCGUUCAUCUCUCUCAAUCUAAACCCAAGAAGAUCUGCCACCCCAGAUCCCUAUAGUCUCCAGCCGGCUGCGUAGCCCCAAACUGCCCCUAGAUUUUCACCUUAUAGCUACCAAGCCUCCCCAAACUCGAAACCUUUGGUGUUUUUCCCAAACAGCCGUUGGAACUCGUUUAAUCUCGAAUCCAGAUGUGCCCUAAUUUUGGAGUUCAGAAUUUUCUUUGAAGCUUCCGCUUGUCAUGUCUCAAAGUUGGCCCUGGUAGACCAUCCUUGUCUAGAGUGGUCACCAUGGUCGGCUUCAAGAUUUGUCAAAGUAUCCCAAGUUUGGUCAUCCAUGCUCUUAUUCUCCGAGUUUUGGCGAGUCGUUCAUCCCAUUCCUUAUCUUUAUUUUUGGGGUCUUCAUCUCCUCUUGUUUCUUUCUGUUUCUUCCUUUCUUUUCUGGUUCAAAUCAAUUUUUCCUUGCAUGUUAGGUUUAAAUCAUAUUAGUUUAUAGUAAUAUUAUCUUAAUAAGAUAGUUACAGUAUCUUUGUUAGUACAUUUGAUUUCGUGCUUGAUUUUUGAGCAAUUCUCCUUUUGCUUUUGCUUCUUUGGAAUUCUGAUGUCAGGAGUUCAAAACUCUGUUGGUAUGUUUUUCUUGUGGGUUGUUGGUUUUGGAUUAGAAAUUGGUCGUUGUAGUACAGAAGCCCAAAGAAAAGGGGGAAGGGUACAAGCAUGCUGGGGUCUAGCCCAUUCGUUGGUACUUUCUGAAAAGGUCAAUAACAAGAGGUUAAAGGAUAUUUAUUGGAUUUAUACUGAGGGAAUCUUUAAUAACUACCUAGAAAAGUUCUAGGAAAGUAGGGAAUAGGCUUGUUUAGCAAGCAUGCUUAAAAUUUAAGGUCUGAAAUGAGUAAAAAGAAAAAUUGGGGAGGGGUAAUAAAGAAAAGAAAACCAAACUUCGCUUCCCUAGUACCACUCUAUAAGAGUCUCAUUUCUUGAAUUUUGAGGGCAGAGAUUAGGAUACAAAAAUCUAGCAAAUGGCUAAGAGAUUUGGAGCACUAUUCUGCACAAAAAUCCUGAAAACUUAUCAGAAUUGAAUCCCUUAGGAAAAUACAAAAAAAAAUCUUCUUUGCAUUACUCCAUGGUUUUUUGUUCUUCUCUUAGAACCUCAAGAGCCUUUUUCAUGUAGUUCCUGAUUUAUUUGGGCAUGAGGCUAGUCUAAUAAGAGCUGAACAUUGUUGCUGAUUGCUACUGUUCCCUUUGUUUUUGCUAAAGUUUCCUCUCUGUUUUUCUUUGUUGUUUUGGGUAUGUUUUGAACCUUGAAAGUACAAAAUGAAGUUGAAGCUUCAAUAUGUUUAAGUGGAAUUGGAUUUUCCUUCCAAGUCUUGUCUUAUUUUGCUUAGUAUUACAUAUAUAUUAUUUGGUUUGGUAGUCAUUGUUUUUAGUUGUAACUAAAUUUUAGCAUUAACACCCUAUUCCCUGAGUUUUUCGGAGUUCGAAUGUUCAAAAUUCAAAUAUAAGCAUGUAUAGUACUCUAAUUGUGAUUUUGGGACUGUGCUAAACUAUGGUUUGUGAGGCUGCCAUAUAAGUUUGGGCAGCUGAAUAUUUUAACAUGUUGGACAUGAAUUCAGUAAAUAUUCAUGUUUAAAUUAUUGAAAUUGGACAGGGUUGAAUCCAUGUUAGUAAACAUAUGAUUUUUCUUAAAUCAUGUUAAUGUUUGGUUAAAAGUCGUGAAUUUUAUUAUGUUCUAAUAAUAAGAUAAAUUGUGUAUGAGCUGUUAUAACAUCAGGUGUUGCAUCUUCAUUAUCGUAGUGUGAUUUGGCAUUGAAAUACACUUUACAUCUGGGUAAAACUUGCAAGAAUUUGGGCCGUAAUAGGGAAAUUUGGUUGAUCUUCAAAUGAGGCUUGUCAUGGGCCUACAUCAAGGCGGUCCAUUUUCCAGUUGGGGCGUUUCUGUUUUAAGUUGAUCAAACAUUUUCUUUUCAUUCAUACUUUGUCAAUACAUGGUUCAAUCUCAAGAUUCUCAUGUAACGUAACUUGCUUCAAGUAACCACGAUGAGUUAUGCAAUUGGGCCUUUGUCAUUGGCUCAAUUAUGCGCUAAUACUUCUUGCUGAUUUUAUUUCCAUUCUAGGACUCAUAUUGAGCCCAAC